AGGUUUGACAUGUGGAAGUCGCUCUGGAUAAGAGCGUCUGCUAAAUGACUUAAA
rfam:Salmo salar isolate Sally breed double haploid chromosome ssa15, whole genome shotgun sequence.